AGUGAACGCUGGCGGUAGGCCUAACACAUGCAAGUCGAACGGCAGCACAGUAAGAGCUUGCUCUUACGGGUGGCGAGUGGCGGACGGGUGAGGAAUACAUCGGAAUCUACUUUUUCGUGGGGGAUAACGUAGGGAAACUUACGCUAAUACCGCAUACGACCUACGGGUGAAAGCAGGGGAUCUUCGGACCUUGCGCUAUUGAAUGAGCCGAUGUCGGAUUAGCUAGUUGGCGGGGUAAAGGCCCACCAAGGCGACGAUCCGUAGCUGGUCUGAGAGGAUGAUCAGCCACACUGGAGCUGAGACACGGUCCAGACUCCUACGGGAGGCAGCAGUGGGGAAUAUUGGACAAUGGGCGCAAGCCUGAUCCAGCCAUACCGCGUGGGUGAAGAAGGCCUUCGGGUUGUAAAGCCCUUUUGUUGGGAAAGAAAAGCAGCAGGUUAAUACCCCGCUGUUCCGACGGUACCCAAAGAAUAAGCACCGGCUAACUUCGUG
rnacentral:rRNA from 1 species